rnacentral:lncRNA from 1 species
GGGCGAACGCUGCCGGCCUUCUCCUUUUUAAGUUUGAUGUUUUAUUAUUGAGUAACGUCUUGUGCCAAAUCAAUGUUGCAACCUUGAAUGCUACGACUUGUAAUCUGGCGCGUGCCAUGUGAGCCAUGUGAUCGCCGCGGAUGGAGUGUUAGGUUCGUAAAGGGUUAUCUCAUAAAAUCUAUAAAAGAGUAAAUUAAUUAGUUUAAAAACUAGAUAGGUUCUGAUAUCUGAUGUUAUUUAUAUGAUUAUUUAUAUGAUCAAUUCACGAAAGGUUAUGCAAGAGAAAAAAAAGAGGAAAGAGAAAACAAAUAUUUUAGAAUGCAAAUGAACAGUCGGAAGUCUGCAAAUGAUUGUUCACCGAGUGUCGAGGGCGAUGGCAAAUUCUUGUAGACUUUGAAAUUCGUUUCUAUUCAUAGUUUUCAAGCAAAAAUAUAGAAAAUUAAGGCAAAAUACACUGCUAAGCAUAUGUGCAAGCAAACAAAAGCGAUUAACAAUUCAUUGACAAAGAACCUAUCUAGUUUUUAACUGUUCGUGACAUUCUCCCUCACUUAAACUGUUGACGCUCUUCAUGCUCCCAAGUGUCUUCCGUUCGAGGAAGAUUUCAUCACUUUACUAAGUAUUCAGUCUGCUAUGCUCCGUUGGAUAGUUUUGUCUUAUGAUCCAUUAAAAUGAUUUCAACUCAUUUAUAAUAGGAAACUCUGGUGGGAGGUAACAAAGUUGAAAUACUUCAGGAAGCAUCCUACGGGUUUGAGUGAUAGGCUUGUAAGUUGCUUGCGUGGAAGACUUAAUGGAUUUUGAGUCACGCUUGUAGUUGUAACUUAUAGGAGACAUUGUCUACCAUGUUGAUAAUUGAGAAUGAUCCUUUGCGCACCAAUCUCUUAUGCACAUUAUGCUUAAAGAACUAGAGUGAUGCUAGUUGGAGCUUCAUCAAUACCAAGUCACCAAUUUUAAACUCUUAUGGUCGUGUUUCCAAGUUUGCCCAAUUCUUCAUCCUUUUGAUAACAUUUUCUAAGUAAGCUCACACAAAAUUUACAUUUUGGUGUUAUUCUUUUAUAAAGUGAUAUUCGGUAUAACCAAUCGCAGGUAUAAAGAGUCGAUGACUGUUGUCCCAUAAUGAUAUCGAAAGGACUCUAAUUAAAUGCAAAGCUCUACUGUAAGUUAUAGGAGAAUUGGGCUAUAUCCAAUAGCUUCAACUAAUCUCAUUAGUUAGUACUUACAGUGCCGAAGAUAUUACUUAAAGAGUAAAUUUGUUCUUUUAGUUUGGCUAUUUGUUUGGGUGUAAAGGUUUGUGGAGAAGUUUAACUUAGAUCCUAGUAAUUUGAACAACUCGAUCCAAAAUUGUCCAAAGAACCAUGCGUCUCGAUUACUAAUGAUAUUGUGCGGGACUCCCCAAUACUUCAGCACAUUCUUUAUCAUUAACUUGGUCAUGUCUUCUGUUGAGCAGUGUAAGGGUGCAACAAUGAUUGUUGCAAAUUUUAAAAAUCGAUCAACUACCACAAGUAUCGAUCCAAGUCUUUCUAUUAUCGGCAAGCUUGAUAUGAAGUAUAAAAAAAUAUUCUCCCGUGACCUUUUUGGUACGGACAAUGACUCAAAAAAUUUCAUUGGCUUUCAUUGCUUUACUUUGUGAUAAAUAAGACACGUUCGAAUAUAUUACUCCACAUCGGUCUUCGUUUUCGGCUCAUAAAAGACCCUCUCCACGAGACCCAAUAUUUAGUGAAUGUUUAGAUGUCUAACCUAAAAGAAAUCAUGACAUUCUCUUAGGAAUUUAUGCCUCAAACUAUUCAUUUAAAGAACAUAAACUUUAUUACUUCGAAGAACAUACUUUAUCAUCAAACUCAAUAAACUAUUGAGUAUCACAUUCUCAUCAGCUUAAUAUCAACUCGGAUGUCUUGUCACUUCGAUAUUUGGUGGGCUGAUGUUGGGUUGCAAUGAUGUAAUUGUCCAAAAAGUUAAUUUGAUUUUUAAUUACCCUAAUGUUUAUUUACUUCAAUCAGUUAUCAAAAAUCAUUAUAAAAAGCCGAGAUACGAUUAGUUUGACCAAAGAUUAUUAUAACACUAUAAGAAAAACCUUAGUUAGCUCUGAAUCUCCUUCCGAUGGAUAAUAAAUUUAUUAUUAUAAAUUAGUGUUAGAACGAGGACCUAAUAUAACUCAUAUAUCAUAAGAUAAUUGAGUCAAAACCUCAUGAGAUCACAUAAAAGAUUCGAUACUAUUAACGCAAACACUUGCUUUGAGAAUAGGAUUAGGAAACCCUUUUUUCCUUAUCCUUAAAGCACAGUAACACUUCAACAUUUAGAUGAUGCUAGUUACAUCACUUAUGAUGAAUCAAUCAUCGUGCUGAAUUAGUUGUAGAAUAGACCAUGUAUAAAAAUAGAUCAACAGACACAAAUGAAUCGAUCAACAAACACAAAUGAAUCGUUUAAGCAUUGUAAAUCAAAAUUAAAUAAUAUUUUUUCACAAGUGAAAGAUACUAAUAAAUAAAUAUAAAUAUAAAAUAAAUUUAGAAUAUUUUUAUAAUUUAAAAUAUUUGAUUUCGAAACAUGACUCUAAUAUCAAUUAUAAACAUAAAACUAUAAUAUAUUAAUAUUAUGUAAAAAUACUGAUAUAUUAAAUUUAUAAUAUAUACCUUUGAAUACCGGUCGGAAAACCUUUAUUUGAUUUACAAACACACAUCAUUGAAUUUGAAAGUUACAAUAAUAUUAAUUUAUAAAGAGAACUAUAUUUCUUUUCUUAUUCUUGUAAACUAUAAGCAAUAAAUUAGAGACAAAUAAAAGAUCUUAGAAAUAAAUAUUUUGAGAAGAGCCAACACAAGUUCCUAAAAGUCAAGUCGACGAUUUCAAGUCAUAACCCCUUAAAAACUAUAUUUGAGAGACAAAUUAAAAGGACUCAACUUAAAGGAACACAACUUUAAAUGUUACAAAUUAGAUCUCCAUGGAGUUGUAGGACACUUUGGAGAUGCUAAACAAUCUCAUCACAAUAAAUGAUACUCAACUUAACAAUACACAACUCAAAAGUGUCCUACAAACAUUAGAGAUCAUCACUCUAAUACUUAUCUUAAUUAUAAGCAGCCUCUAAAUCCCCUUAAGAAAGAGAUUUUUGCCACACACAUCCCCAAGCAAUUUUGUAAGAAUGUAACCAAACCCAGGUGAAGUACUAUUACAUGAAUCAAACAUUCAAACAUUAUAUCGACAUUAAUGAAACAAUUGAUUCUCCUUUCUCAAGGCAUCAAUUUGCAAUCGCCACUCCAAAACAUACUAACCAACAUUGUAUCGACAAUAAAGAAAUAAUUGAUUCUCCUUUCUCAAGGCAUCAAUUUGCCGGGACAUUAAUAAACGGAUUGAAUGUCAAAUAAGGCUUCAAAGUACGUCUAUCCGCGUACUGGUUGGUACCUAUCGGUGAUCGGACGCCAAUAAGAGGCUCAGAAUACAUUGCUCAGAAGCCAAGCGUAACAAAGGCACUUCAUCGAAGACCCAAUUUGGUUGAAAGGAUCUUCUUACGUGUUAGCAGCUCAUCAUAGCAAUGUUUUCUCGGUGUUGACGAAAACCACACAGGCGAACGCUAAAUAAGCAGGUUUAGAAUCGAUACUGCUUAGUCUUUUGAAACACAUGGCUGUUUCAUACGGCCAAAAAGGAAAACUCGAAUGCAUUAUAGAAAAUGAAGCGCCAAUCAUGCAUAUCUCCACAAAUUGCUACAAGAAAUAUCAAUUGUUUGGCGAGCUAAUCUACAUCAUGUAAUGAAUGAUACCUAGAACUCAGUGAACGCUUGCCUGCUUCUAGUCCCAGAAUCAAAAGACAGAGACACUGAAUGCUUAGAAUCAAGGGAAAGGGAACCCGAAAUCGUUGCCAGAGACGGAAAAAAAGGACAAGAACGAAUGACUUGCAUAAUCGGGGAUCAAGCGAUUUUUAACACAAAUCAAUUUUGUAUCGAAGCAAAGAGUAAAAUCCUGGAGAAACCGAAACAAUCAGCGAAAAUCCAACUGCGCAAUAUCACAAGUGCACAAACUUUGACCGACAAGAGGUCUCCUCACUACAACCAAGGACCACGGGUCUCCGGCUGAAAUCAUUCGCGAAGCCCCUAGAAACAGUGGAACAAAGGCAACGACGAAGGAUUCGGCGAAAGAAAGGGGAGAGGAAACGAGGAGGUAAGGUCGCCUCCGCAAGCGAAUGGGAGGACGCGAACGAAUCGGAAGCUCGGACCACCACCGCUUAUAUAGCGCUGGAGGUCCGAAAACCCUAAAGCGUUCGGCCGAUCGCCUCCUCGUGUUAUGACCUAAGUGCCCCUGGUGGCCGAUUUGUUCGUUCCUUAUGUUAAGACGAAAGUACCCUUGAGCGUCCAAGAACCAACGGUUUCAGAUCCGUAUGUUAUGACGAAAGUACCCUCGAUCUUCCAAGAACCAACGGUUUUAGAUCCAUGGGCUAAAUAAAUAGCAAAUGCAAUAGAGACGCAUGUAAUGACGGAAGUGCCCCCGUAGGACCCAAGAAUUCCAAUCGACUCCAACGUAUUUGGAGCCUUCUGAUGCCUCGAGCAGAGUGAAAGGGAAGCCUUCAUCCAAAGCUUUGGGGCCGGAUUUGAAGUGAGAAAAAAUUGUGACAAAUACACAGCUGAAACUUAUACAGAUUAAUUUUAAUUUUCGUGCAUUAAUGGCUCCUCACAAGUAUGUGCUUUCGCUGGACCGACAGCAGAAAGCGCCUCAAAGAACGGGAGGAGGUCGCUAACAAGUCUCUCGUGAAUUCAUAUGACCACGGAAAGUCUCGCCAGCUCCCAAAGCAAUAUGAAGAACAAGAAGAAAAAGACGCAUAUCGCAUAGAGAAGGAAUGCCACAAAGCGUCUCUUCCUUGUGCUGUAGGCGAUGAUAGGGCAUGUAAGCGAGUUGG